rnacentral:rRNA from 1 species
UACGGGGGGGGCAAGCGUUGUUCGGAAUUACUGGGCGUAAAGGGCUCGUAGGUGGCCAACUAAGUCAGACGUGAAAUCCCUCAGCUUAACUGGGGAACUGCGUCUGAUACUGGAUGGCUUGAGUUCGGGAGAGGGAUGCGGAAUUCCAGGUGUAGCGGUGAAAUGCGUAGAUAUCUGGAGGAACACCGGUGGCGAAGGCGGCAUCCUGGACCGACACUGGCACUGAGGAGCGAAAGCCAGGGGAGCAAACGGG